ACAUCCACUUUAUAUAACAUGCUACUGUACUCUCUGUCCCUGAGGGAGAACCAACCUAACUAACCUGUCUCUCUCUUCUUUGACCAACAGGUGGUGUUCACGUCUACGAUACGAUCAAUCCCUCAGACAACAUUGACAAUGAUGCUGCUGUUGGACCAAGUCAUUUGACAUACGCCCAGAUUCAACUCACAAAGUUGGACAAGAAAAAGAAGGUGACUAAACUGUGACAUCAAUUAAUAAUGUGCA
rnacentral:lncRNA from 13 species